UCUGGUGUCAAUGAUGACUGAUCUUUUUUCCCCAGCAGAUCGACUGUGUUGACUGCCCUGAAAAUUAAGCCAAAAUGCCUGAAACACCAGC